UCCCACUUGUUGUUGAUUCUUCACAAAAAAAUACAGUUUUAUAUCUUUAUGUUUGAAGCCUGAAAUGUGGCAAAAGGUCGCAAAGUUCAAGGGGGCCGAAUGCUUUCGCAAGGCACUGUAGAAUAACACAUUACACAUUUUACACACUAUACCUAACCAACGUCAUAUUGCGUUAUUAGCUCAUGAUCGCAAACAAAACGUUUGUACACUUGGUGAAUAUAAAAGUAUAGCAUAUAUGGAAGAGAAGGAUAACAAAAUCAAUCAAUCAAAUAGUCACUGAAAAGACCCAACACUCUAACAAACCAGUUGAAGAAACAUAGUUUGGUAGUUUCUCCUCACAACCUUACAGCUGAUUUGAUUCUAGGUGCUUGGAUGAAUAGUUUGGUAGUCUCUCCUCACAGCCUUAACAGCUGAUUUGAUUCUAGGUGCUUGGAUGAAUAGUUUGGUAGUCUCUCCUCACAGCCUUAACAGCUGAUUUGAUUCUAGGUGCUUGGAUGAAUAGUUUGGUAGUCUCUCCUCACAGCCUUAACAGCUGAUUUGAUUCUAGGUGCUUGGAUGAAUAGUUUGGUAGUUUCUCCUCACAGCCUUAACAGCUGAUUUGAUUCUAGGUGCUUGGAUGAAUAGUUUGGUAGUCUCUCCUCACAGCCUUAACAGCUGAUUUGAUUCUAGGUGCUUGGAUGAAUAGUUUGGUAGUCUCUCCUCACAGCCUUAACAGCUGAUUUGAUUCUAGGUGCUUGGAUGAAUAGUUUGGUAGUCUCUCCUCACAGCCUUAACAGCUGAUUUGAUUCUAGGUGCUUGGAUGAAUAGUUUGGUAGUCUCUCCUCACAGCCUUAACAGCUGAUUUGAUUCUAGGUGCUUGGAUGAAUAGUUUGGUAGUCUCUCCUCACAGCCUUAACAGCUGAUUUGAUUCUAGGUGCUUGGAUGAAUAGUUUGGUAGUCUCUCCUCACAGCCUUAACAGCUGAUUUGAUUCUAGGUGCUUGGAUGAAUAGUUUGGUAGUUUCUCCUCACAGCCUUAACAGCUGAUUUGAUUCUAGGUGCUUGGAUGAAUAGUUUGGUAGUUUCUCCUCACAGCCUUAACAGCUGAUUUGAUUCUAGGUGCUUGGAUGAAUAGUUUGGUAGUUUCUCCUCACAGCCUUAACAGCUGAUUUGAUUCUAGGUGCUUGGAUGAAUAGUUUGGUAGUUUCUCCUCACAGCCUUAACAGCUGAUUUGAUUCUAGGUGCUUGGAUGAAUAGUUUGGUAGUUUCUCCUCACAGCCUUAACAGCUGAUUUGAUUCUAGGUGCUUGGAUGAAUAGUUUGGUAGUUUCUCCUCACAGCCUUAACAGCUGAUUUGAUUCUAGGUGCUUGGAUGAAUAGUUUGGUAGUUUCUCCUCACAGCCUUAACAGCUGAUUUGAUUCUAGGUGCUUGGAUGAAUAGUUUGGUAGUUUCUCCUCACAGCCUUAACAGCUGAUUUGAUUCUAGGUGCUUGGAUGAAUAGUUUGGUAGUCUCUCCUCACAGCCUUAACAGCUGAUUUGAUUCUAGGUGCUUGGAUGAAUAGUUUGGUAGUUUCUCCUCACAGCCUUAACAGCUGAUUUGAUUCUAGGUGCUUGGAUGAAUAGUUUGGUAGUCUCUCCUCACAGCCUUAACAGCUGAUUUGAUUCUAGGUGCUUGGAUGAAUAGUUUGGUAGUCUCUCCUCACAGCCUUAACAGCUGAUUUGAUUCUAGGUGCUUGGAUGAAUAGUUUGGUUCUUAUACAAUGUUUACAUUAUCUUUCCAUGUUAUUAUUUGGUCCAGACUAGGCCUAUGGAUAGUAGAGUGCCAUUACUGUCGUUGGUUCAUAUAUGUCACCUGGUUGGUCUAUACUGUACUGAGCUGUACGAUGGCCACAGUGUCAGAACAGUACUCUACUGUCUAUACCACAAUAAGACUGUCGGCAGUGUGUGUGUGUGUGUGUUCCACACUCUGCAUACUGUGUGUGCUCAUGCAUCCAGGGCCGGACAUACUAAUUUGCAUAGAUCCCAAUCGCACCUAGUCUAGGCUAUACCACAUAUACGGUCACACAGACAGAAUCUACACUACUAACAUCCCAACCAACCUGCACUGUAUAAACAGCAUCAUGAAAGGAUAUAUUUUAAUGAAGUCCAAUAAAGCCA